rnacentral:lncRNA from 10 species
GCCUCCGACGGAAGUGCGCCCGGGCCGGCCGCGCGGGACCGGGAGGUGGGAAGUGGGAGGCGGAGCGGGGCUCCCGGGACACGUCCAUCUUCCUCCCUCGGCAGUGGGCGCCCCGCUGGGCCCUGCGCCGGAGCUGAGGCCAGGACUCGGCAGGCGGGCCUCGCGCGCGGUGAGCGAGCCUGGACGCUCCCGGACCAGAGACGCCGGCCUCGCUGCCCUCGCGUUCCCCGCAGCUCGGGCGUCCCGCGGCGGGCCGCUGCUCCCCGGCCGGGCUCCUUAUCGCGCUGGGGGCUCCCGCAGGCCCUCGCCGCUGAGUGUCCCCGGCGCGUGCCUUCCGCCUACCGCUGGGCUCUUCCCGUUUCCCUCACGCCGCAAAUGUUUUUGUGGGGACCUGGCCCUCGGCAUUUCGGAAUGCCACAAAAUAAACCUCACACUUAACUGCAUAUGGGCUUCUUGUGCACGUAAACGGGGGGGGCGGGGCGCGGGUGUUUCUUUUUCUUUUUUUCUUUGGAGCAGGGUCUUCCUCAGUUGGCUCAGGCUGGAGUGCAGUGGCGGGACACGGC